rnacentral:rRNA from 1 species
AUUGAACGCUGGCGGCAGGCUUAACACAUGCAAGUCGAGCGAGCGGCGGACGGGUGAGUAAUAUCUGGGAAACUGCCUGGUAGAGGGGGAUAACUACUGGAAAAGGUAGCUAAUACCGCAUACCAUCAGAAGGGCCGAGAUGGGAUUAGCUAGUAGGUGGGGUAAUGGCUCACCUAGGCGAAGAUCCCUAGCUGGUCGGAGAGGAUGCCACGCCACACUGGAACUGAGACACGGCCCCUAUCCCUACGGGAGGCAGCAGUGGGGAAUUUUGCACAAUGGGCGCCAGCCUGAUGCAGCCAUGCCGCGUGUAUGAAGAAGGCCUUCGGGUUGUAAAGCACUUUCAGCCAGGAGGCGUUACUGGCAGAAGAAGCACCGGCUAACUCCGUGCCAGCAGCCGCGGUAAUUC